rnacentral:rRNA from 1 species
ACGCACGCUGGCGGCGUGCUUAACACCUGCAAGUCGCACGGAAAGGCCCUGCUUUUGUGGGGUGCUCGAGUGGCGAACGGGUGGGUAACACGUGAGUAACCUGCCCUUGACUUUGGGAUAACUUCAGGAAACUGGGGCUAAUACCGGAUAGGAGCUCCUGCUGCAUGGUGGGGGUUGGAAAGUUUCGGCGGUUGGGGAUGGACUCGCGGCUUAUCAGCUUGUUGGUGGGGUAGUGGCUUACCAAGGCUUUGACGGGUAGCCGGCCUGAGAGGGUGACCGGCCACAUGGGACUGGGAAUCCGGCCCGACCUCUACCGGGGGGAAGCGGUGGGAAUUGUGGAAAAUGGGGCGAAGCCCGAUGGCGGAACCCCCACUUGCGGAAUAACGGCCUUCGGGUGGUAAACCGCUUUCGCCUGUGACAAGGCGUAGGUGACGGUAUGGGUAAAGAAGCACCGGCUAACUACGUG